rnacentral:misc_RNA from 1 species
AAGAAACAAACUGGGAUUAGAACCUCACUAUGCUUAAUCGUAAAACAUAACACUUACACCCUAAAAUCGCUAGAGUACUACGAGUAACCAACUUAAAACUCAAAGGACUUGACGGCGUCUUACCUGCCUAGAGGAGCCUGUUCUAUAAUCGAUAUUCCCCGACUCACCUUACCAUUUUUCGCCUAAUCAGUCUGUAUACCUCCGUCGCAAGCUUACCAUAUGAAUGUUAAUUAGUAAGCAAAUUGAUCCACUUCAUCAACACGCCAGGUCAAGGUGCAACCCACAAAAUGGAAAGAAAUGGGCUACAGUUUCUAGUCUUAGAACAUACGAAUUUAUCAUAUGAAAAAUGAUAAUGAAGGCGGAUUUAGCAGUAAGGGGGUAAAUAAAAUGUCCCCCUUAACCACAGCAAUGAGACGUGUACACACCGCCCGUCACCCUCUUCAAUUAAACAUCUAAUGUGUUUAUAACAAUAUUAUUCACUAAAAGAAGAGGCAAGUCGUAACAAGGUAAGCAUACUGGAAAGUGUGCUUGGAACAACAAAAUAUAGCUUAACCAAAGCACUUCGUUUACACCGAACUAAUAUCUAUUUAAAUCAGAUUAUUUUGAGCCAAAAACCUCGCCCGAACACACUCAAUAAUUUACCCCACACCACAAAACAUUUAAACAAUCUAGUAAAGGUGAUUAAAAACUUAAUAAGAGCUACACAUACAGUACCGCAAGGGAAAAUUGAAAUAGAAAUGAAAUAAACCAAAAGCCAAUAAAAGCAGAGAUUAACGCUCGUACCUUUUGCAUCAUGGUCCUAGCUAGUCUUAACGAGCAAACUAUAAUAUUAAGCUCGUACCCCCGAAACCCGACGAGCUACUUAAAAACAGCUAUAAGAGCCAACCCAUCUCUGUUGUAAAAGAGUGGGAAGAUUUUUAAGUAGGGGUGACACGCCUACCGAGCCGGGAGAUAGUUGGUUGCUCAAGAAAAGAACCUAAAUUCUUCCUCAAAUACCACACAUAAUACUUAAAUACACAUUUGAGAGCCAUUCAAAUACCGUACAGCCUGUCUUGAUCCCGGAUACAACCAACAAUUAAGGGUAAUGUAAACCCAACCUUACUUAAGUAGGCCUAAAAGCAGCCACCUCCCAAAAUAACGUUACAGCUUUAUUAAAAUUAUUUUUAAUACCAACUAUUACACAAAACCCUACCCCAAUACUGAGCACUUUUAUAACUUAUAAAUGUUAUUAUGCUAGAACAAGUAACAAGAAAAAUUUCUCCUUAAUAUAAGCAUACAUCAAACAUGAUUUUUACUUCUAUAAAUGUAACACCUCUUCCAGAAAAUUUUACUAACCACCAAACUUACUAUUAACCUUACACAAGAACACUACAGGAAAGAUUAAAACAAAAAGAAGGAACUCGGCAAAUCUUAGUCUCGCCUGUUUACCAAAAACAUCGCCUCUUGAUUAAUUAUAAGAGGUCCAGCCUGCCCAGUGAUUAUUUCAACGGCCGCGGUACCAUAACCGUGCGAAGGUAGCACAAUCACUUGUUCUUUAAAUAAGGACUAGUAUGAACGGCACCACGAAGACUAAACUGUCUCCUUUAUGUAAUCAGUGAAACUGAUCUUCCCGUGAAGAAGCGGGAAUUAUCAUAUAAGACGAGAAGACCCCAUGAAGCUUCAAAUAAAUAUCAACUACUACCCCAACACCACCUCAACCUUAGCAGACCUGAUUAUUAAUUUUUGGUUGGGGUGACCACGGAGCAAAAUAAAACCUCCUCAAUGAAGGGGCCUAACCCCCUAAUUUAAGAACAACAACUCUAACAAUCAAAACAUUGACAUACUUGACCCAAACCAAAAUUGAUCAAUGAACCAAGUUACUCUGGGGGAUAACAGCGCAAUCCACUUCAAAAGCCCCUAUCGACAAGUGGGUUUACGACCUCGAUGUUGGAUCAGGGUGUCCCAGUGGUGCAGCCACUACUAAAGGGUUCGUUUGUUCAACGAUUAAAACCCU